rnacentral:rRNA from 1 species
UACGGAGGGUGCAAGCGUUGUCCGGAUUUAUUGGGUUUAAAGGGUGCGUAGGCGGCUAAUUAAGUCAGCGGUGAAAUUCCACAGCUCAACUGUGUGAACUGCCAUUGAUACUGGUUGGCUUGAGUACAGAUGAGGUAGGCGGAAUUGACAGUGUAGCGGUGAAAUGCUUAGAUAUUGUCAAGAACACCUAUUGCGAAGGCAGCUUACUAAAACUGUAACUGACGCUGAGGCACGAAAGCGUGGGGAGCAAACAGG